rnacentral:rRNA from 1 species
ACUCCUACGGGAGGCAGCAGUGGGGAAUAUUGCGCAAUGGACGAAAGUCUGACGCAGCAACGCCGCGUGGGUGAUGAAGGUCUUAGGAUUGUAAAGCCCUGUCUUCGAGGACGAUAAUGACGGUANCGAGGAGGAAGCCACGGCUAACUAC